AUGAUUAUCCACUACUUGCAUCGAAACUUCAUCAUCCAAAAUGAUAUCCCCAAGUUUCUGCUUCUUGACCAUGCGAACUCGUCCCCUAACCUGUGUUUCAAUAGGCGAAACAUCGUCAACGGUUAUGAUAUCCUAAAGUUUUCUAGAAGAUUUUCUCGUUUUGAGGCUGGACCGAUCUUCGUCGACUUCUACACUGUGUGGUGGUAA